AAGAGAGGCCUGCCAGCAACGAAGACUGCUAAUCAUCGACCCCUUGGUUGAACUCCAAGGCUCACUUA
rnacentral:tRNA from 1 species